rnacentral:rRNA from 1 species
UACGUAGGGGGCAAGCGUUGUCCGGAAUCAUUGGGCGUAAAGCGAGCGUAGGCGGCCCGAUAAGUCUGCUGUGAAAGUCAACGGCUCAACCGUUGAAAGCCGGUGGAUACUGUCGGGCUAGAGUUCGGAAGAGGCAAGUGGAAUUCCUGGUGUAGCGGUGGAAUGCGCAGAUAUCAGGAGGAACACCCAUAGCGAAGGCAGCUUGCUGGGACGAUACUGACGCUGAGGCACGAAAGCGUGGGGAGCAAACAGG